GGCGGACGGGUGAGUAAUACAUCGGAACGUAUCCUAAAGUGGGGGAUAACGCAUCGAAAGAUGUGCUAAUACCGCAUAUAUUCUGAGGAGGAAAGUAGGGGAUCGAAAGACCUUUAUGCUUUUGGAGCGGCCGAUGUCUGAUUAGCUAGUUGGUAAGGUAAUGGCUUACCAAGGCAACGAUCAGUAGUUGGUCUGAGAGGACGACCAGCCACACUGGGACUGAGACACGGCCCAGACUCCUACGGGAGGCAGCAGUGGGGAAUUUUGGACAAUGGGCGCAAGCCUGAUCCAGCAAUGCCGCGUGAGUGAAGAAGGCCUUCGGGUUGUAAAGCUCUUUCAGUUGAGAAGAAAAGAUUGUAACUAAUAAUUGCGAUCCAUGACGGUAUCAACAGAAGAAGCACCGGCUAACUACGUGCCAGCAGCCGCGGUAAUACGUAGGGUGCGAGCGUUAAUCGGAAUUACUGGGCGUAAAGGGUGCGCAGGCGGUUCUGUAAGUCAGAUGUGAAAUCCCCGGGCUUAAC
rnacentral:rRNA from 1 species